UCUAAAUCUAACAAACACCAACAAAAAUGGCGCCUCGGGACGGAGCAUGUUCUCAGUGAAAUAAAUCACCCGUCGACUCCCCGCUGACACCGACGGGUGAAGCUCCUUCGCCCGCUGAAGCAUUUCCUAAACUAACUGCGUGCACGGAGAACUGAUUAUCCAGAGAGGGGGUUCUGUUUCUGAGAGGAUUCAUUGCAACACAACGGGGGCGGUGACUGAAUCUGAAGAUCCAGACAACAAGCUCCCCAAGCAGCUCCUCCUUCAGGCUCCUGGACGGGGCUCAGAUUAAACCGCCGUCAAACAUUGAAGGCUUCGCGGCGUCCUUCGCCUGACCUCUGUCAUCCGCGCGCUCGCACGUGAACGAAAUGUGGAGGUUCCAAAGGCUCUCCGGUGCAAACACAGCUUCAUGUAAACGCUCAGGACGCGUUUCAGUGUGCGAUACGCCUUCUGGGCGGCGUGCAUGUGUGUGUGGGAGGUCGCGUUGUGUAUUUGUGUGCGUGUGUGUGUGUGUGUGCGUACACAAACAUUUGUUUGCUCUCCCAGGUCUUGCUCUUAAAUGUACACCGGGUGAAUUUGACCAAUUUGACCUUUCCACGUUUGUCCAAACAGGCAAAAGAUCAUGAACACUGUGGCAGAGAUCAAUUCUCUCAUUUCCACCCCCCUCACCCCCCGUCUCCCCCCUCACCCCCCCUCACCCAGAGCUCUGCCAUCAGGCCCUUUGUCUCUUUGGCCUGAAUCCAUUGACCUCCUGCACUGGGGAAGUGAAGACUCGACCCGCCGUCUGAAUAUAACGAGGUGACGCGUGAUGAAUUCUCGCCCUCCGGUGUGCAGCUGAGAGGAGGACGCUCACAUCUCAGUGUCGCGUGCACGAGACGCAAGAAGAAGAGGUGUGCAAAUCCCCGUCUCCCCUCCAAGUGCUCGCACUCCUGCACCACAACGCCAACGUCGUGCUCUUCAUCGAGAAUAACACUCAAUUUGAUUAUUUUUUUGUACUUCAAAAGAAGCUUUAACGUCAUUGUCUCCUGCAGAUGUUCCGCCUUUGAGUUAAGUAAACAGUUCCGGCGGCAUAUUUCAUUUAUUUAGCAUUUGCUUGCUGACUGAUUGUUUGUUAGGGACGGUUCGUCAUGCAGUGUUUCCCCGGCCAUGAAAAGAAAUGCCCACUUUAGUUUUAAAAGAUGUUUUCCUCCGUUGCUUCUAUGAAGUUUAGACAAACACAGCAACAAACUAGAACUGAUUCAACAGGAUCAAUAAAAAGGCUUUAGUGUUAAUUAGCAUAUAUUUUGAGUAAUAAAUGUAAAAAAUAAAUAAAGAAUUAUAAAACCCAAAUGCCAAAAUGUUUCUCAGACGACAAUGCGUGACCCGUGUGACCAGACUGCCGGUGAGUUUAUACACACGAUUUAUUAAUUAGGACAUUAAGAAAGUCAUUGCCAGAUCUAUGCAGCUGUGAAUGGACCUGGUCCAACCCGACAUCCAGGACCUGGUCCAACCCGACAUCCAGGACCUGGUCCAACCCGACAUCCAGGACAUGGUCAAACCCGACAUCCAGGACACGGUCCAACCCGACAUCCAGGACAUGGUCCAACCCGACAUCCAGGACCUGGUCCAACCCGACAUCCAGGACAUGGUACAACCCGACAUCCAGGACCUGGUACAACCCGACAUCCCGACCCGCACUCUCUGCUCUGCAUGUGAUAAAACUGCUGGUUCCUCCUCACUGAGAGCAAAACACUCCACUAGAUCUCCACUCUUUGCUGUCUGAACACAUUGUAGCACUUACAUUGGACUUAUAAUGGUUCUUAUAGCAAAUUGUAAAUUGGCUUAUUUGAUGAAAUUGCACUUUCUUGUUUCUUGCUCUUCUGGGUUUGUGUCCUUAUGGUUAAAUGCACUUACUGUAAGUCGCUUUGGAUAAAAGCGUCAGAUAAAUGACGUGUGAUGUGAUGUAAUCAAUGAUUAAUCAGUUCAUCACUGCCCAGAACAACAGACUGAAGCGUGACCGAUGUGCACCACUGUCCACAAAUAUGAACUGUUAUGUUUUUUACCGUCCUGGCGAUAAAGUCACUCAGUUCCAAUGAUGACGAGACACGUGAUUGUAUUUUGAUAAUUUAAUAAGUGGGAUUAAUAAAAUGUCUUUGGCAUUAGUAGAUUUAAACAUUAUACGCUGCUUAGUGCUACUGUUAAAGAGGGAAUUAAGACCCGUCGUCUUUUUCAUACCGUCCUUUAAAAAAAGAUUUAUUCAAGCUUCACACUAAAUCCCAAACGUAAACACAUCGCGGCAGCGUUUUAAUUCACCUUUGAUUACAGAAGACAGCAGGACAGUAUUUACAAUGCAAAUGCUUUGAAGGGUCUUUUCUUCCACGGCUGAUUUUGGAGUUUGCGUUUGUGAGAAGUUGUCUUCUUCACUCCCGCUGAAGGACAUUUUCUGUGGGUGUGUGUUUGUGUGUGUGUGUGAGGCGUUAAAGUCUGUGUCAGAAAUGUGAGCCCGACCACCUGGUUGUGGCUGAUCAGCUAUAAACCGCUUGGAUCGAUGUGUG
ensembl:lncRNA